rnacentral:rRNA from 1 species
CACCUACGGGAGGCAGCAGUGAGGAAUAUUGGUCAAUGGCCGCAGGGCUGAACCAGCCAAGUCGCGUGAGGGAUGACGGUCCUAUGGAUUGUAAACCUCUUUUGUCAGGGAGCAAAGGGCGCCACGUGUGGCGUUUUGCGAGUACCUGAAGAAAAAGCAUCGGCUAACUCCGUGCCAGCAGCCGCGGUAAUACGGAGGAUGCGAGCGUUAUCCGGAUUUAUUGGGUUUAAAGGGUGCGCAGGCGGAAUGUCAAGUCAGCGGUAAAAUCGUGAAGCUCAACUCCAUCCAGCCGUUGAAACUGAUGA